rnacentral:rRNA from 1 species
UCUAAAGGUUUCUUCGGAAGCCUUGGCGGACUGCUCAGUAACACGUGGAUAACCUGCCCUUAGGUCUGGCAUAACCCCGGGAAACUGGGGAUAAUACCGGAUAGAUCAGGGGUCGCUGGAAUGCGCCCUGAUCCAAAGCUCCGGCGCCUAAGGAUGGGUCUGCGACCUAUCAGGUUGUAGUGGGUGUAAUGUACCUACUAGCCGACGACGGGUACGGGUUGUGAGAGCAAGAGCCCGGAGAUGGAUUCUGAGACACGAAUCCAGGCCCUACGGGGUGCAGCAGGCGCGAAACCUUUACAAUGUGCGAAAGCAUGAUAAGGGAACUCCGAGUGCCAGCAUUAAAUGUUGGCUGUCCUUGUGCCUAAAACGCACAAGAUAGCAAGGGCCGGGUAAGACCGGUGCCAGCCGCCGCGGUAACACCGGCGGCCCGAGUGGUAAUCGCUAUUAUUGGGUCUAAAGGGUCCGUAGCCGGUUUGAUAAGUCCUCUGGGAAAUCUGAUUGCUCAACAAUCAGGCUGCCAAGGGAUACUGUCAAACUUGAGACCGGGAGAGGUAAGAGGUACUUCAGGGGUAGGAGUGAAAUCUUAUAAUCCUUGGGGGACCGUCUGUGGCGAAGGCGUCUUACCAGAACGGGUCUGACGGUGAGGGACGAAAGCUGGGGGCGCGAACCGGAUUAGAUACCCGGGUAGUCCCAGCCGUAAACGAUGCUCGCUAUGUGUCAGAUACGGUGCGACCGUAUCUGGUGCCGUAGGGAAGCCGUGAAGCGAGCCACCUGGGAAGUACGGCCGCAAGGCUGAAACUUAAAGGAAUUGGCGGGGAGCACUACAACGGGGGAGC